UACGUAGGGUCCGAGCGUUUGUCCGGAAUUAUUGGGCGUAAAGGGCUCGUAGGCGGUUCGUCACGUCGGGAGUGAAAACUCGGAGCUUAACUCCGAGCCUGCUUCCGAUACGGGCAGACUAGAGGUAGGCAGGGGAGAGCGGAACUCCUGGUGUAGCGGUGGAAUGCGCAGAUAUCAGGAAGAACACCGGUGGCGAAGGCGGGUCUCUGGGCCGAUACUGACGCUGAGGAGCGAAAGCGUGGGGAGCGAACAGG
rnacentral:rRNA from 1 species